rnacentral:piRNA from 1 species
UGACCUCAGCAGUUAUACCCAAGUGCUAGU